AAUCCUGACACAGGGAGGUAGUGACAAGAAAUAACAAUACGGGGCUCAACGCCUUGUAAUUGGAAUGAUGGGAACCUAAACCCCUUCCAGAGUAUCAAUUGGAGGGCAAGUCUGGUGCCAGCAGCCGCGGUAAUUCCAGCUCCAAUAGCGUAUAUUAAAAUUGUUGCGGUUAAAAAGCUCGUAGUUGAAUUUCUGCCGCAUCGCGGCGGCCCUCCCGGGCCCAGCGUUGCGGCUUAUUUCGGACUCGCUUGCGUCUCCGAAUGUUUACUUUGAGAAAAUUAGAGUGCUCAAAGCAGGCCCUUGCCUUGAAUACUUUAGCAUGGAAUAAUAAAGUAGGACUUUGGUUCUAUUUUGUUGGUUUAGCGCCAAAGUAAUGGUUAAUAGGAACAGUUGGGGGCAUUCGUAUUUAACUGUCAGAGGUGAAAUUCUUAGA
rnacentral:rRNA from 1 species